rnacentral:rRNA from 1 species
UGCCCUACGGGAGGCAGCAGUGGGGAAUAUUGCACAAUGGGGGAAACCCUGAUGCAGCGACGCCGCGUGAGCGAAGAAGUAUUUCGGUAUGUAAAGCUCUAUCAGCAGGGAAGAAAAUGACGGUACCUGACUAAGAAGCUCCGGCUAAAUACGUGCCAGCAGCCGCGGUAAUACGUAUGGAGCAAGCGUUAUCCGGAUUUACUGGGUGUAAAGGGAGCGCAGGCGGCUUUGCAAGUCUGAUGUGAAAGGCCAGGGCUCAACCCUGGGACUGCAUUUGAUACUGUAGUUCUUGAGUGCUG